rnacentral:lncRNA from 10 species
GGGGGAAUAAGUGCUAGUGCUCUAAAGCACUAUAGGGUGACUAUAAUUAACAACAACUUAUUGUAUAUUUUCAAAUAGCUAGAACAGCAGAUUUUGAAUGUCCCAACACAAAAAAAUGAUAAAUGUUUGAGGUGAUGGAUAUGCUAAUUACCCUGAUUUGAUCCUUAUACAUUGUAAACAUGUAUCAAAAUAUCCCAGUGUACCCUGUAAAUAUGUAUUAGGUAUCAAUAAAAUAUGUAUUAGAUAUCAAGUAUUAGGUAUCAAUUAAAAAUAAUAACAGCU